rnacentral:sRNA from 1 species
AUAAUGCACUCUAGGGGGGUGAGAAGCCCCGACCGGGGUUCGACAACUGGCGCAGCCAGUUGGACAGACCACGAACGCAGUGAGUGGGCUGCCCGCAGGGCGAGCGAAGCGAGUCAUUCCCCCCUCACCGCCA